rnacentral:rRNA from 1 species
GAGAGUUUGAUCCUGGCUCAGGACGAACGCUGGCGGCGUGCUUAACACAUGCAAGUCGAACGGAAAGGCCCCUUCGGGGGUACUCGAGUGGCGAACGGGUGAGUAACACGUGGGUAAUCUGCCCUGCACUUCGGGAUAAGCCUGGGAAACUGGGUCUAAUACCGAAUAUGACCACGAGGCGCAUGCCUUGUGGUGGAAAGCUUUUGCGGUGUGGGAUGGGCCCGCGGCCUAUCAGCUUGUUGGUGGGGUGACGGCCUACCAAGGCGACGACGGGUAGCCGGCCUGAGAGGGUGUCCGGCCACACUGGGACUGAGAUACGGCCCAGACUCCUACGGGAGGCAGCAGUGGGGAAUAUUGCACAAUGGGCGCAAGCCUGAUGCAGCGACGCCGCGUGGGGGAUGACGGCCUUCGGGUUGUAAACCUCUUUCAGCAGGGACGAAGCGCAAGUGACGGUACCUGCAGAAGAAGCACCGGCCAACUACGUGCCAGCAGCCGCGGUAAUACGUAGGGUGCGAGCGUUGUCCGGAAUUACUGGGCGUAAAGAGCUCGUAGGUGGUUUGUCGCGUUGUUCGUGAAAACCGGGGGCUUAACCCUCGGCGUGCGGGCGAUACGGGCAGACUGGAGUACUGCAGGGGAGACUGGAAUUCCUGGUGUAGCGGUGGAAUGCGCAGAUAUCAGGAGGAACACCGGUGGCGAAGGCGGGUCUCUGGGCAGUAACUGACGCUGAGGAGCGAAAGCGUGGGGAGCGAACAGGAUUAGAUACCCUGGUAGUCCACGCCGUAAACGGUGGGUACUAGGUGUGGGUUGGCUUCCUUGGAAUCCGUGCCGUAGCUAACGCAUUAAGUACCCCGCCUGGGGAGUACGGCCGCAAGGCUAAAACUCAAAGGAAUUGACGGGGGCCCGCACAAGCGGCGGAGCAUGUGGAUUAAUUCGAUGCAACGCGAAGAACCUUACCUGGGUUUGACAUGCACAGGACGCUGGUAGAGAUACCAGUUCCCUUGUGGCCUGUGUGCA